rnacentral:rRNA from 1 species
UACGGAGGGUGCAAGCGUUAUCCGGAUUCACUGGGUUUAAAGGGUGCGUAGGUGGGUUGGUAAGUCAGUGGUGAAAUCUCCGAGCUUAACUUGGAAACUGCCGUUGAUACUAUCUGCCUUGAAUAUUGUGGAGGUGAGCGGAAUAUGUCAUGUAGCGGUGAAAUGCUUAGAUAUGACAUAGAACACCAAUUGCGAAGGCAGCUCGCUACACAUAUAUUGACUCUGAGGCACGAAAGCGUGGGGGAUCAAACAGGA